CACAAAUAUGCUGAUCACACAAGCAACGGCAUUCUGGCUUUUUACCAGUAAGAGACCAUUCACAGAUCAGAAUCAAAAUACCGGUAAAUCCUGUGAUGUCUGUAAAUGGUAGGGCUUGCAUAGACUAGUCGAGGUUUCAUGUCUUUUCAUUUACAGUAGCAUGAACCACGAGUAGUUGAGUAACUCGAGUAUUUUUUAAAUAAGAAAUCGUCUAGCAGAAAUCAGUAGUCGUGCAACCCCUAGUAAACGGAAACGAUCUUUAAAUGUUGCUCCAUUGUCUUCAUUCCCCCGCAUGAGUAGAAGCGCUUUAGUUUCACUAUCUGUCUAAUUUGACAACAUUUUGAGUGACUUUUGAAGCCUGUGCAUGCUCUUAUAAACACCUGAUGCGCAUAAUAGUAGCCUAUCCAACUGCAGGGUGACCGUGAUUUCACCAAGUACAACAUGUUCCUGGAUCAACAUCCUUGAUGAUCCUGGAACAACAUUCCUAUCAACCAGAAUUGAGGGAUAACUUUUCAGGAAGUAUCUGUUUUAGCCUUAUGAUUGGGGUUAGGUGCUUCUACUCCCUUCUUAAUCAGCUAUCAUUUCACACUGAUUUUAGGAAAAAAAAUAUGGGUAGGGUUAGGUUUUGGGGUAGCGAUUGGGUUAAGUCUAUAUUUUUGGACAGUAAUGUUGAUCCAGGAUCAACAAAAGAUGUGCAGGAACAUGUCUUACUUGGCAAAAUCACGGCGACCCCAACUGCAGAGCCACAGCGCUGAUGAAUGAUAAAGAAGGCUGGGUCUCGAGUGGGACAACGGUCAAAGCUGUCCAUCUAGCACAUAAUAAAAUGAAUAAAAAGCACACUUUGUAGAAAGACAAAUAAAUAAAUAAAUAAAUAAAUAAAUAAAUGCCUUCACAAAAAAGAAGACAGAGAGAGAAAGAGCGAGAGGAGGCUUCUAAAGGCAGUUCAACAUUGCAAACAUGAAUACAAAGCUCCAGCAAGCCAGCAGGUAAAUCAUCAUAUACAAUAUUUAGCAGUUUGUCACACUUUAAUUCUUGUAAUUAGGUAUAUUUCCCAUUAUAACCACUUGUCUUGAUACUAGUAAUCUUUAACACAUCAUAUUUUAUUAAAACCAUAUUAUAGUAAGCCUAUAGUAG
ensembl:lncRNA